CCUACGGGUGGCAGCAGUGGGGAAUAUUGGUCAAUGGGCGCAAGCCUGACCCAGCAACGCCGCGUGAAGGAAGAAGGCUUUCGGGUUGUAAACUUCUUUUGGCAGGGACGAAGCAAGUGACGGUACCUGACGAAUAAGCCACGGCUAACUACGUGCCAGCAGCCGCGGUAAUACGUAGGUGGCAAGCGUUAUCCGGAUUUAAUGGGUGUAAAGGGCGUGUAGGCGGGAAUGCAAGUCAGAUGGGAAAACCACGGGCUCAACCUGUGGCCUGCAUUUGAAACUGUAGUACUUGAGUACUGGUGAGGCAGACGGAAUUCCUAGUGUAGCGGUGAAAUGCGUAGAUAUUAGGAGGAACACCAGUGGCGAAGGCGGUCUGCUGGACAGCAACUGACGCUGAGGCGCGAAAGCGUGGGGAGCAAACAGGAUUAGAUACCCUAGUAGUC
rnacentral:rRNA from 1 species